AAGCUCGUAGUUGAAUUUCGGCGUGCGCUCAGGCUGGGUCGGCCGUCGAAGGUCUGUACCGGUUUGGGUCACGCCCCACUGUAGGAUACUCACCGCUGUCCUUAACUGGGUGGCGGUCAAAGGGGGUGUGUAUGGGGGGCAACUCUGUGCAUAUCUCUGGGGUUCCUACUCUUUUACUUUGAGCAAAUUAGAGUGUUCAAAGCAGGCAAUCGAGCCUUGAAUACUUCGAGCAGUGGGAUAAGUGGAACAGGACGUGGGGUCCUGUAUUUCGUUGGUUUCG
rnacentral:rRNA from 1 species